rnacentral:lncRNA from 10 species
CUCCUUCUGCCAUGAUUUUCCCCUAUAUUCUCACCAGUAACUAAAAGCAUAGUGUCCAGAAUGAAUCUAAGUAGAAGAAGGGAAGACGAGAAGGACACAAGAAGGAAGACAAGGAAAAAUGUCGACCUCAAAGAACUAGAGGAACAACACUGGAGUUAUACGAAACACCCAGAAUUAGAAUCAGAGCAAUUUGAUUGGAUUUACUACAGCUGAUUCUAGAUACAAGAACUUUACCGAGCCAUUUACAAUUUUUGUGCUUCAAUUUCAUCAUUUUAAAACAGAAAGAAAGCAUUUACCUUAUACGCUUGUUGCUUAGAUUAUAAAGGAAUUAUCUAUAUAAAAAGUACAAUAAAGAAGAAUAUAAAUGUAAGAAUGUAGAGGGUCACAAACAUUGUUUGAAAUAUCCAUGCUUUUCAUUUUGGAGUGAAAAGAGGAAAAAUACUAACUGUAAAAUUAAAUUCAUUACUAUAUCAAAGUCAAGCCUGCCUAUCAAGUCAUUUGACAGUUAAAAAUGUUUUGUUUAUCCCAUAAACUUUAUGAAAAAACUAGUUCAUUGCCAAAGGGAUGUUACUUACAGCAAAAUCUCUAGAAGCUCUGAAAUAGAAUUUGAGUUUUAUUUGCAUUUUAUUUUUACAUUCUUACUACUCUACUAACUACAUUCUGCCUAAGUAAAUAUGCUCAAAGCUUUAAAAGUAGGCUGAAUGAAUCACUGGUGGAAAAAUAAUGACCAGGAGCCAACAACAAGCUGAAAAAACAAGAAUCCAUAAUCUCCAUAUGAGAGGAAACUGUGUGGUAAGAUGGAUUUAAUGGGUCUGGGCUAAAAUGGUAAAAGUAUAAUGGAUGUAGCUAAAACAAACAAGGUCCAACUCUAAACCAGCACAAGAAAAACAGAGCAAGGGCAUUUGAUUUCAUUUAAAAGAAAUUAAAUUUUAAAUCAAAGUAAAAAAUGUAAGUCAUUACAAUAUUGAGGUAGUUAGUGGAGUUGACUGUAUAAGAAAUUGGCUACUACUUUCAAAGGGCUUCAUCAUUUUAAAGCUAUACAAAUAUUUGUCUUGGAUAAGGUUAAAAUUAUGAAGACAUCAAAAUUCAAAGAAAGUUCAAUGCCUUUUGGGGGUCAGAAAGUCUGAAAAUAAAAAAUUCAUGUAUUUUCUUUUGUUCAUAAGAAAUGAAAAGUGGUCUUUCAUUUUUUCCCAUCUAAUAUAUCAAUAUAGCAACUUUUGUCAAACAAAGGAGAUAAACAUCUGGGUUACUAUGGGUAAGUUUUUCUCUUUCUUUUCUUAAGGGCAACCAUGCUUUCCAUUUGUCUGUAAUACUAGAAAUAUUUCACUGUAUUUUUCUACUCUAUGCCUCAACUCUAUAUUUGACUUCAUUAGAUUUUAUAAAUUGUCUCUAAAUUUUAUUUUGUGUUUAUACUCUAAACAAAUUUAUACUUUAGGGUUUUUGCCUAUGGAGUCGAAAUAGUUUAUCAUUUUCUGACUGUAAUUCCUGUAACAUAUUUAAAAAUUAAAAACUAACUUUUUUCAUGUUGAAUUAUAUUGGAACAAUGUUUUCUUCCUUAUUUUUAUAUUUUUUCUUUUAAGUUUGUUCCCAAUAUCAACAAAAAAUAUAUUUUUAAUGUGCCUUUAUUUUAUCUCCACUCACAUAACUCCUGGGAAAAUUUUUUUUCUUGAGGAUGAGGAACUAUUUUAAAAAUCAUAUUUUCUGUUCUUUACGAUGCAAAACACUCUAUGCCAAUCCCUUUAUUUGCCUUGUGGCCAGUCUCAGUAUUUAAGAUGGUUAUUAGUAAGCUAUCCAAAGACAUGUAAAAACUGAAGCUCAGAGAGGCUAGGUAAUAUGCUUAGCUAUUAGCUUGGUGCAAAAGUAAUUGCAGUUUUUGCCAUUACUUUCAACUCUAAAAACCACAAUUACUUUUGCACCAACCUGAUACUUAGCACAACCAGCUAGUUACUGAGCAAUGGAAUCAAAAUUGGAACUCAUUUAUUAAGCCAAGGUUUCUCUUUGUUCUAGUAUAUGAGGUUGCCUGUGGAAGAGUCAAAAAAUUA